rnacentral:lncRNA from 10 species
GCGACAUUCUGGGUCCCACGCAGAAAAAGUCAGGCCACUGAAGGGGCCGCUGUGAGGACAGGGGUGAGGAGAAGGGGGCUAACUUUUCGGCCUGCCUUUCUCGACGUUCCUAAUACCCGAGCUUCCGUUUAACAUAUGUGUGGCUCUUCAGCUCAGCCAAGUUCAUUUUUCUGUAUGCAGCUGAAAAUGAUUCUAGAAGCAAAACUCGCUGUCCGUGUCUGAAACGGGAAACUUGCUUUCUGGAGCAAAAGUCUUUUUCUCAGUAGAGCAAAUCCUGCAACUCGUGUGGGCAGAAACCCAGUCCUCAGAGGUACAGGUAGAAACGUGGAGAUCCCAGCAGACCCCUGCAUCGUUCCUAACUGGGAAAUGAGCAGAGUCUGUGGCCGCACACAGUCGGGGAGGCUUGGGUAACUGUGUUCUCUUCUCCAUGUAUGGCCUAGAGCACCUCAUCCACUCGGAUGACUUCAUUCGUUGCUGCUACAGAAAUGUCAGCCUUUUCAAUGUAAUCUAUCUGAACAAUUCACUGGCAUUUCAGAUGGGAAAUGUUUUUUUAAAAACUGAUUUUUUGAAACUUCAUCUCCUAUCCCAAACUCUCAGGCCUCUCUCUUAACCUUCCAAUUUUAAUCAAUGGCAUUUCCAUUCUCCUAGCAGACCACCCACCGUGAUCAUCUGGCUUUGUUCUUACGGAAGCCAGGUUGAAGCUACCCAGUACCCAAGUAGCCCCAUCCAAUGGGAAAUUCCAAAUCAAGGCCUCCAAAGAGAUAAGUCCUGGAAUACAGGAGUCAAAAUGGGCCCCGAAACAGACAAUUCACAAUUAAAUUCCCCAGAAGAGCAGGAAGUUUGCCCUCGAGGUGCAGGCUUGUAGAGAUUACUCAAAUGGACUAAACUGUACAAAAGGCAGCCAUGGACAAGUUACAGGUCCAUUGUAUCAGUAUCCGUCCUUGACUCUGUAUCCAAAGCAGAGUCUUCUAUGUGGGCAGGGUAAAAAGAGGCUUCCCCAGAAUCAAACAGUCCUGAUCACAAUAUCUCCCUGCCCUCAGAUUUGCUAAUCAGAAAACCACCCCUACACAGUUGCAAAGACACCUCCCCCAAGGCCUUCGCCAGCCCUGAGGGCACCUCCACAGUGAAACAUGUCCUUUUGGCUUUCCAGCUUGAUUCCCAAAAGCCAGUCAAACCAGGGUGGAAGCCUCCACUGUGUUCUACAUCCCGUGCAGUGAGUGGAGCUUUGUGAAGUUGCCUUAGAUUGCUAAGGGCAGAACUGUGCCCAGACAGAAAUAGGCAAACCGAAUUUCUCUUGUGUUCCCUUACUCUUUUUCAUGACUGCUCUCAUUCUGCUCUCUUCUCCACUAGCCCGGGUGUCUGGGACGCUUGCGUCGUUUCUAGGCUCUCCCAAAAGAGUCUCGUAUCCAGCCCUUCCCUCCCUGAGAAUCGCCCCAGUCUAUUUGUCCUUCUCCCCUCCCCUAGUUCUGUUAAAAAUGACCUCAUUUGUGUCUCAUUCUGAUCAGGUCUUGGGCUCUUCUUUACAAAGUGGCAAUCCUAGUCUGUCAACUGACUCGUGUUCAUGGGUUUAUACCCUCUUCCCAGCCAGGUCACCCCUGAGCUUAAACAUGGCCUCAUGAAAACCAGGUCCCCAUGAUCACCCUAAGGUAACCUACAAAGCUCUAGCCCUGGAAGGCAGGAAGAUGACUGCUGGGAGACAUAUUUUAAGAGUGACACGUCAGAGGCAGCUCUCGACUUUUUAAAAAAGUGCCAUGUUCUCUAUUGUUACACUCUAUGAUUACUGUACUAAGGGCCCAUCCUGACUUCUCUGGAAUUUUCUGCAAAUAUGUAGUUCUGGUGUAACUUCAGCAGGGGUAAAAAUUCAAUGGUACAUAACUGACAAUUUAUCAAAUUAAGAAAUAGAACAUGCAAGUUUUUCUUAUAAGAAUUUUGUAACGUAAAUGGUCAUUGUGCUAAUUCAGACCUCAACUUCUCUGCUGCUAUAAAGUCUCCAACAGAAAAAGCCAGUAAUGGUCAUAAAACUGAUCAUGUUUUUUGAUUCAGGAAAUCCUUUUUUGAACAAUAACAUACAAAGACGAAAAGUAAACAAAGCUGCCUGUUUGAAUAUAAACACAUAUGCAGACAAAAAAAACAAAUAAAUGGGUUAGAGAAACAACAACAAAAAAAUUACAUCCAUGGAGGUAAAGGGAGGAUUGUUGCGUUAAUUGUAACUCAAACCUCUUAACACUUGAGGAAUGAUUAAGCAAGCUAGGGUGUCGUUACUGGGUAUAUUUGAUGGUGUACAAUAGUAUAUGUUACUUAGAUAUUAAAUGAAAUGUGUAUACUAUGUAGAUUUAUAGAGACGUUUAUAGUAAAUAAGGUUCUGUGAAAAUAAUAUGACUCAAAAUGUUAAAUAGGAUAAGCAAUAUAAAUGUGUCACAACGCCCUGGAGUGCAGGCUGAUCCCUGGAGACCAGUACUGAGUCAUCUGGUCUGCUCAAGGGCCAAUUAAGGAAAGAUAAAAAUGUUUACAAACCUUGUUUUUCAUAAUUUAUCUUUUUUAUGGAACUAUAGUGUCUGCAAUAUCAGUUAAACAGCCUUUUAGUAUUUCUCAUUUAUGUAACAACUCCUUCCUUCCUUCUUUCCUUCCUUCUUUCCUUCUCUUUCUGAAACUUUCUAAAUAGCAUGUGCUACCUAACCUUAUUUGUAACCCACGCCCUUUAAACAAAUUUUGAGGAGAUGAAUCCUGGACAUACCAGGGUAGGAAAGGGAUUUGAGGGAUUUAGAAAAACAGAGGUGAGUGGACCCCACAAUUCACCCACAGACUUGAAAAAGGAGACAAUAGCUGGAGGGGGGAGGCUGGAAACUGAAGGAGCCUGUCUGUGGGAAAGGGAGCGUCCCUGAGAACCCCAAGGAAGGUGGCUGCUCGGUGGAGGGGCUAUUAGGUAAGCGGAUAGAAACUGCACAGCCUCCUUUGCAAUUCCAGAUGUCUUCAUGUGGAAAGUGUGGUGACAUCUUAGAUGGGAGAUGGGGAGGGUGGGGGCUCGCCUCCUCAUCGUCUCCAUCGCCUCAAAUGGGAGUGCUCAGAAGUGUUCCAGAACAAGUAGACAGCUCUCACUGAAGACAGGGAAGGCUCUGUUGGGAUCUCACAAAGGAUUGGUGUCAGGUGAUAAUGUUUAAAUUUUCCAGAUUCCUGAGAGCCAGCACUGGGCAGCUUAAGCCAUCCUCAGCAUCCAACUGGCCUCUUUACUGACACUCCUGCCUAGCAACCUCCACUGUCCCUUGGAUCUCUGGCUGAGCUUAAAGUGUUGGGUUAAAAGAAAAUAAGCAAUAAGAUAUAUAUUAACACCUCCCAUGGAAGGUAAACGGAUUGAUUCAGCUGUGACCACCUCCCGAAAGCCCUAAGUAACAUGUAAUUCAGUCAGUCCUGUUCAUUUUCAUUGCUUACUUGUAAAACUGAGAAAUUAAACUACAAUGAUGCAGAUCAAAGUCACCACAACCCCAGUUUCGUUUCAUAGACUGUCUUGGGUUAUUUCUUCUGGCGAGUCAGAAGUUUUCCUGCAAUUGCUCAGAGUAAUACACGGAGUUUAGGAUUUCUUUUUCUUAAAAGGAGUUGUGUUUCACUUUUUUGUACCUUGAUAUUAUUUGCUCUCAAACUAAAAAUUGGUUUAAUUUUAGAUGUUGGCAACGAUUCUCAUAUCACAGGGAUUUCUAUGUUUAGCUGUUUACCCACCCAUUCGGCAAAUAGCAGACACUGACUGUGCUAGACACUGGAAGAAUGACCAAUGGCGGAAGAAGACCCACGUUGACGUCGAGCUAUAAAGGAAAGAGACAAACAUAUAAACAGGAGACUAUUGUAUGAUGUGAAAUGUCUGAGGCUUGGUGUAGUUGCUUCAUUUUUGUAGAUCUUCUUAUUCAAGAAAUGGGUAUAAAUUCCAGAGAUGCCAAACCUUGAAUUCAACUGAAAUCAACCCCCAAGUAAAGGAGAAGAUGAUCAGGAUGGUUGGAGUUUGAACCUAGUCAACUGGCUGGCCUUCUCUGCCUCUCCUGUCUCCACUGCAGGACCUGACCAGGACACCACUCCUGAAAUUUACCUACCACAGUUGUAGUCACAUGCAAACGAAGAGGCUGGAUCUGGGUAUCUCCUGCAGUGCAUGUGGACUGUGCAGAGAGAAGGAGUCCCCUGGAGUGGGACACUUAGAGCAGAGGGCACCCAGAACCAGGAACCAUGAGAGAGGAGUCUCAAAAUAGGACACAAAGGGAGUGCUUCACCACGUCACAGUGCACAUUGCAGCUAAGCCUCCGGCUCUGCUGGGGUCAGGCCAACAUGGAAAGAACCCAGGGACACCCACUCUUCCUGGGCACAGCUGAGAAGAGAUUAGGAGCCAGAGAAAGGCCUCCAGGAAACCCAGGGCAGACCAGUAAGAAUCCAGAAGCCCAGUCCAAACCGAGGCAGAAAGAGGACUGAUGUGUCUAACACCUGGCCUUCGCUACCUCCGAAGAGAGACAGACCAAGAACAAACGAACCAAGAAGGUGAAAUGGUUAAAUGUGGCGCCUAAGCCUUUCUUUUCCAGGAACUGACAUAACUUCUGUCUGUCUGCCUACACGGAGUUGUGGUUAGGAACACAUUUCUGGGGGAUUGGUUUGGUUUCAAUGUUUUCCAGCAUCUGGUAAAAACAGAAUUAUGAAAGUUAAGUAUUCAAAGAUUGUUGUUUGGGUUUUGAAACAGAAACAUUUUGAAAUACUGAUAUGUUUUGCUUUCAUAGUAUUAUUUUACUUAAAGAGAUACGCUUGAAGUAAAACCAAAUUCUCAGCUACUAACAGAAACACUUUAGUCUUCCUUGUUGCCCAAAAGCCAGUUUGAGAUUCGGCAAUUUUAGGAGAGAAGGAGGGAGAGAGAGAGGAAGGACACACCACAGAUAAAAAGGAAGUUUGAGACAGUUGUGCCUGUUCUUAUUGAAUGUUUUAGGUGAUUCCUAUAUCCCUUUUCUUCCUUCAGCUGGGGCGAUCUUUCCAGAAAAUGCAGCCCACCAGGAAAGGUUAGAAUUUAUCCAGAGCAGCUAUUUGCACUUGGUUUUUGACAUCUUGAAGUAAUGUGUUUGUCUGAGUGCUUUUCUUAUUUAUACAUAAAUAAUCUUACUAUCUAUGUUUUAUGCUUUCUUACUAGCAUGUAGAUCUAAUGUAGUUCCAUUUACUGGAUUCUGAGAGAAAUAUAGACAUUGAAAGGGGGACUCUAGACUCCUUCCUCUGGCCAAAAUGCAGUAACAGGGGCCAGAUUUGUGUUCUUGCCUGAAACAGUAACAACAACAAAAGAUGAGACUUAAAAAAAAAGUUUCAAAACAUGGAUUUAGGCAACGAAGGACAAUGAGUGAUCCCUAAGCUACUGCCCCAUCUUGUGGCCUUGAGACAGUUUCCAGGCUGUGGUGCAGAGUGGAGAACAGAGGCAAAGCCUGGUAGAUCCCUGACUUGAGGAGACAGAGGUGAGAGUCAGGAGAUCAAGGCAGCUAGAGUUCAUGGGAAUCAGCACCAGAGAAGAGAGAGCUCCAUAAAGAGAGGACUUGGGAGAUCUGCAGAGGAUCCUUGAAUAUUCAUCAGAGGACCUACUGACCAGCACAUUCAUGCGCAGGCGUCAUCAGAGACAAGGGAGAGAGCCACUUGAAAGGAUUGGAGGUUUACAGUGCUCACUCAGAGCAAGGAAUCGUGCUUAUUCCCACCAGCCAGACCAGAAAACCUCAUAGUUCAUUGACAUUAGUAGUGUUAAACUAAGUUAAGCCUAAAGCUACCUCCUUACAUAUUUUAAGUUCAGGCUAAAUGUUUUUCCAUACACAGAGAACUGUAGCCUAACUGGACAUGUGACCAGAUUGUAAGGCACUCCUGUAACAAGUAGUCAAGCCUCAGCCAAUUAUAGCAGCCGAAUUUUGGCCACUCAAAGGCAGCCAACUGUUGAAACCAUGUUUAACUAAGUGCCAAACUGUCGCCAGCCAGCUGUUUCUGUGCUUCACCUCCAUUUUCUGUAAGUCACUGCCCUUUUACUGUCCAUAAAUGUUAUCCGGCCACAUGGUGGCCCUGGAGUUGCGCUGCUGGUUCUGGGGGAUGCCCAAUUCAUGAAUCAUUCUUUGCUCAAUUAAACUCUGCUCAAUUUAAUUUGCCUAAAGUUUUCCUUUUAACGGGAUGGUACAUAGUACAAGGGAAUAAUUAGACUAAAUGCUAAUCAGUCCUGCCGAACUAAUUCAAAAAGAAAG